CGACAGAGCAAGACUCUGUCUCGAAAAAGAUAAAUAAAUAAUUAUGCUUGCUCAGAAUUCUGCUUUCUGAAAGUAUAUAGCUACUCCAUCUCUUUUUUUGAUUAGUGUUAGCAUGUAUCUUUCUUCAUCCCUGUUUAUAAAUUUUAAUUUUAAUUUUUUAAAAAUAGAGAUGAGGACUCUCCGUGUUGCCCAGGUUGGUCUCAAACUCCUGACCUCAAGCAGUCCUCCUGCCUUAGCAACCCAAAGUGCCGUGAUUACAGCCUUGCUUUGGUAUCGGCACAUUUAAAGAAGUGGUUACCUCUUUCAGAAUUAAUGGAUUGGCUUCAGUUGGGAAAGCUGCGCUCACCUGUUGGUGAGCAUGAGGACAUCAACUGGAUGAAGUAUAUGGCUGAACCAAGUCUGAGGACAGGUGGGAAGAUUGUAUUUCCCUUCUCCUUGAGGUUAGACACAGUUACAUGGCUAGUUGAGCCAACAGAAGAGGAGCCGAAGUGAAAUAUGACACUUCCAAGUGAAAGACUAUAACUGCUGAUGCUUUUCUCUCAUCCCUGCCAAGAGCACAAUCACAGAGGUUCAUAUCCAUAUGAAGGCAGUAUCAGAGUGGAGGAGCUUGGAAUGCUGAGCAAACACACGGAGGAACGCUGCUGUGGUGCAUUACAUGGACUCCAGCAGGCUUCGCAUGAGUGACAAAUACACUUCAGUCAAGCCACUGAGAUUAGGCAGUUUGUCCUGCAGCACAGUCUAGCCUAUUUGGAUGUAUCUGAGUUUAGUCAUGGUAGCAUUAUGCAUCCUUGUAGCUGGGAGGGUCAAGUAACAGUUCUAGCAAACAAAAUAUAAAUUGAGGUGACUGGGCAAGUGAGCCUUCUAGGAAAAGCCUUUUAAAGAAACAAAUUCAGCUGGCAUGAGCAGUUUCUAUUUUUGUCCUUCAUUUUCUUGCCUGGAAUGUAGACAUGAUGGCUGGAACUGUAGGAGUUAUCUUGACAGCAUGAGGACUAGGGUCCCAUCCAAUGGUGCAGUGUGGACAGAGGAAAGGAGAUGGGACCCUGCUGACAUCAUGGAGCUGCCAUACUUUGGACUUCCCACAUCUGGGAUUCAUUUACGGGAGAGGAAAACAAACUUUUGUGUUGUUUAACCCACUGUUUUUCAAGUUUCUAUUCCUAACAGCCCAGUGCAAUUUUUAACUGUUAUGGAAGGUACAGAAGUAAUUUUAAUUCUUCCAGUAUUUAUACUAUUAGUUUUUCAUAUUUUUAUUGUGGAAACUUUCAAACAUAUCCAAAAAUACAGACAGUAGUCAUCAUCCAGCUUCAGCAAUGAUCAACUCAUAGCCAAUCAUGC
rnacentral:lncRNA from 1 species